rnacentral:rRNA from 1 species
CUACGGAGGGUGCGAGCGUUAAUCGGAAUUACUGGGCGUAAAGCGUACGUAGGCGGUUGGUUAAGUUAGAUGUGAAAGCCCCGGGCUUAACCUGGGAACUGCAUUUAAAACUGGCGAACUAGAGUUGAGUAGAGGGGAGUGGAAUUUCAGGUGUAGCGGUGAAAUGCGUAGAGAUCUGAAGGAACACCAGUGGCGAAGGCGACUCCCUGGACUCAAACUGACGCUGAGGUACGAAAGCGUGGGUAGCAAACGGGAUUAGAAACCCUAGUAGUCC